rnacentral:rRNA from 1 species
AUGCAUGCAAUAAAAUUCUUGUGCUAUCGCAAGUUGAAAGAGAGUCGAAAGGAACUUGCCAAGGAGACAGGGAAGCAGGCCCUGCAGUUCGCGUACGACGAGGUGAUCCAGGGCCUGAGUCAGCUGCUGGACCCGGAGACGGCGCCGCCGAACAGGUCGGUCGUGCGCCGGACCGCCCGCGUCACCCCGCCCCGCGUCGCCACGCCCGGCCUCGCCUUCGACCCACUCGUCGGAUCGCUGCUGGGCUCCAAGGGUGUCCGGAAGAAGGAUCGGGGCCUGAGAAACGUCAUCUCCGGGAAGGCGCCGAUGAAGCUCCUCGCCAUGGAGCCUGCACCGACAGCGGCCGCCGUGAGCAGCAUCCUCAAGAGCCAGGGCAUCCUCCGCGCCAGCCAGAGAGCGCCGGGCAUCGACACGGGCGCCCUGUCCAUCCUCGCCAACAAGACACCGGCGGCGGCAUCCAGCGCCGAGCCCAGCGCGCUGGUGGACAAGGCGCUCGGCGGCGAGGUCCCCGCCCAGGACACCAUCGACGCGUUGGUGGACAAGGCGCUCGGCAGCGAGGUCCUCGCCCAGGACACCAUCGACGCGUUGGUGGACAAGGCUCUCGGCGUUGACAAGGUCGCCGCCGCCUCGGCCACCAUCGGCGCGCUGGAGGCCGUGCUGGGCGACAAGGCCCCUGCCUCGACAACCAUCGGCGCGCUGGAGGCCGUGCUGGGCGACAAGGUCCCCGCUCCAGGCGUGCAGCACCAGGCGCCCGCGCCCGCACUCGAGGAGAAGGACGCCGGCGACAGCAAUGCCGUGCUCUACUUCGUACUCGCCUGCAACGGCGUGCUCCUGGUCGUCGUGGCUUACAAGGUGUGGCGGAAGUACUGGGGAGGCGGAGGAGGAGGCCAGGCAGGUGCAGCGGCGGCUCCCCAAGCGGCGGCGGCGACGGCAGUGGAUCCCGAAGCUGGGGCGACGACGGUGGAUGGCGAGGGAAGCACAAGUCAGGAACCCCAAGAGGCGGCGGUGGAUGUCCAGGCGCCAAGCACAGGCGAGGAGCCCCAAGAGGCGGUGGGGGAUGGCAACCGCGGCGCCGACGACAACAACAGCAACGCCGACGACAACAACAGCAACGCCGACGACAACAACAGCAACUCCGACAAGUGA